GGGCUGCGGGUAAUGUAUGUUUUCACCGUAACUGAUAUCUGUGGCUAGGGGGUGCAAAAUUCCAGUAACUUUUCAAAAAUUCCCAGGAAUUCUGGAAAACCUGGGAAUUUUGGUAGAGAGGGUAGUAGUUUGGUAGUUUGGUAGACACAGGGUGUCCUGACCUCUUUAACCGGACGGGGGGCCUGACCUCUUUAAUCUGACGGGGGGCCUGACCUCUUUAAUCUGACGGUGGUCCUGACCUCUUUAAUCUGACUAGCGGGCCUGACCUCUUUAAUCUGACGGUGGUCCUGACAGUGAGUCCAGCUGUUUGCAGUGGAAAGAGACAGAGAACCUGUUUCUCUUUGUCUGGUUUGAGUCCUAAACGG
rnacentral:lncRNA from 13 species